rnacentral:siRNA from 1 species
UGUGGACAGCGAUUUCUGGACAC